UGUGGGAAAGCUUUUGCGGCAUGGGAUGGGGUCGCGUCCUAUCAGCUUGUUGGUGGGGUAACGGCCUACCAAGGCUUCGACGGGUAGCCGGCCUGAGAGGGCGACCGGCCACAUUGGGACUGAGAUACGGCCCAGACUCCUACGGGAGGCAGCAGUGGGGAAUAUUGCACAAUGGGCGCAAGCCUGAUGCAGCGACGCCGCGUG
rnacentral:rRNA from 1 species